CCCUUAGAUGUUCUGGGUCGCACGCGCGCUACACUGAUGCAUUCAUCGAGUUUACAACCUUGAUCGAUAGGUCUGGGUAAUCUUUUAAAUGUGCAUCGUGCUAGGGAUAGAUUAUUGCAAUUAUUAAUCUUGAACGAGGAAUUCCUAGUAAACGCAAGUCAUCAGCUUGCAUUGAUUACGUCCCUGCCCUUUGUACACACCGCCCGUCGCACCUACUGAUUGGAUGACUCGGUGAAAAAUUGGGACUGUGAAGAACACUGCUUAAUUGCGGCGUUUUUUAUGGGAACUUUUUUAAACCUCGUUAUCUAGAAGAAGGUGAANUCGUANCA
rnacentral:rRNA from 1 species